GAGAGGCUGGGGCUGAGAACCGAGCUGGCUGGGUAUGUCUUUACGCUUGUGAGCCUGUUUUAUUUUUAUUUUAUUUUACGUGUGUGUGUGUGUGUUUGUGUGUGUGUGUGUAUACAGUGUAGUGCAGUUGUCCAAGGAGACCAGAAGAAAGCAUCAGAUCCUUUAGAGCUGGAGUAGAGGUGGUUGUGAGCCAUCCUUAUGUGGAUGCUGGGGACUGAACCCGUGUUCUCAGCAUGAACCGCAAGGGCUCUAAACCAUCGAAACUUGCUCAUCAGCCCUUUUAAAGAAGGAAGAAAAAGGGUAGAAGAAUUCUGUUUGGCUAGUGGGUCUUAUUGCGGUUCUCGGGAUCUUUCUGGAUCCUUCCUUAGUCCUGGCAUCGAGUCUCUUCCCUUGUGUCUGGCACUCUACACUGGAGGUCAUGGAGAGCCGUGACGGUUUCUGAGGAGGGGAGGAGCUUACUGCAGAGUGUGGGAGGAGCCUGACCGCAGGCAGCAGCCUUCCUCAUACUUUUUGACAAAGUGUCAGGAAGGUGAUGUGGCUCUGGUUUGCUGGAGACACACCUGUCCUCGGACCACACCCAUCUGGAGAUAUUACGCAGGCAGAGGUCACUUGUCCCGAGCACGGUGGUUUGGAUAUUAUCAGCAGAUGUACUCCUUGUUUUUUGUCAGUUAGGGACAAACCUAGAUUGUAUCUGGGAAGAGGGACUCUCAACUGAGGAACUGCCUUCAUAAUACUGGCCUGUAGACAAUUCUGUGAGGGCAUUUUCUUGAUUAAUGAGUGACGGGAGAGGGCCCAGCCCACUGUGGGUGGUGCCAGUCCUGGAUGGUGGUCCUGGGCUCUAUAAGAAAACAAAAGCAAACCAGUAGCAAAUGCUGUUCCUCCAUGGCCUCUGCUUCAGUUCCUGUCUCCAGGUUCCUGUCCUGAGUUCCCUCCAUGAUGUAAGCUGAAAUAAAUUCCUUCUUCCCC
rnacentral:lncRNA from 1 species